rnacentral:siRNA from 1 species
AGGAAGUUUGUGGUGUUGGAUAAA